AGAAUCAACGCUGGCGGCGUGCCUAACACAUGCAAGUCGCACGAGAAAGGGACUUCGGUCCUGAGUAAAGUGGCGCACGGGUGAGUAACACGUGAAUAAUCUACCUCCGAGUGGGGAAUAACUGAGAGAAAUCUAGCUAAUACCGCAUAAUACCCACGGGUCAAAGCAGCAAUGCGCUUGGAGAGGAGUUCGCGGCCGAUUAGCUAGUUGGCGGGGUAAUGGCCCACCAAGGCGAUGAUCGGUA
rnacentral:rRNA from 1 species